rnacentral:rRNA from 1 species
UACGGGGGGGGCAAGCGUUGUUCGGAAUUACUGGGCGUAAAGGGCUCGUAGGCGGCCAACUAAGUCCGACGUGAAAUCCCCAGGCUUAACCUGGGAACUGCGUCGGAUACUGGAUGGCUUGAAUUCGGGAGAGGGAUGCGGAAUUCCAGGUGUAGCGGUGAAAUGCGUAGAUAUCUGGAGGAACACCGGUGGCGAAGGCGGCAUCCUGGACCAAUUCUGACGCUGAGGAGCGAAAGCCAGGGGAGCAAACGGG